rnacentral:rRNA from 1 species
AACGGCCACCAAAGCGACGAUCGGUAGCCGGACUGAGAGGUUGAACGGCCACAUUGGGACUGAGACACGGCCCAGACUCCUACGGGAGGCAGCAGUGGGGGAUAUUGCACAAUGGAGGAAACUCUGAUGCAGCAACGCCGCGUGAGGGAAGAAGGUCUUCGGAUUGUAAACUUCUGUUCUUAGUGACGAUAAUGACGGUAGCUAAGAAGAAAGCUCCGGCUAACUAC